UACGGAGGGUGCGAGCGUUGUCCGGAAUCACUGGGCGUAAAGGGCGCGUAGGCGGCGCGGGAAGUCCGUGGUGAAAGCCCGAGGCUCAACUUCGGGUCGGCCAUGGAUACUCCUGGGCUCGAGCACUGUAGAGGCAGGUGGAAUUCCGGGUGUAGCGGUGGAAUGCGUAGAGAUCCGGAAGAGCACCGGUGGCGAAGGCGGCCUGCUGGGCAGUAGCUGACGCUAAGGCGCGACAGCGUGGGGAGCAAACAGG
rnacentral:rRNA from 1 species